GUUAUUCAAUCCGCAUGCGAUUUACAUGUUAUAAUACAUAUACAUACGUAAAUGUCGUAACGUUGGUAACGCAUGUGGAAUGAAUAGCGUCGAUUGGAUUAUAAUUGUUACUUCUUAUAAUUCCCAGACUGUAUACAAAGAAAAUGAAAAAAUUGUUUGCUCUACGCCAUAGAUAAUAAAACUUAAAUAAACAAACGUUUGUCUCGAGAUGCACAGCAGUUGCUUAAGUGUGUACACAUCACACCAUAAAGUCUGUACCUACACUGCACUAUUAGUUCCUGUUCAUUUUUGCAUAUAAGCUUAUCUUAAAAACUUGCCAAAAGCGAACAUUAAUAAUUUAUGAUGGUCACUUAGCACGAUAAUGCCUGUUGCAAUAAUAUGUUAAGAGUAUAGAGUGUAGGUUUUUGCCGUACUUAUCUGAUUACAAAAAAAAAUUUCCUUAAAAUUUAUUGAUUACGCCACACUUCCUUGAACUCAUUAUCGUUUUGAAUAAAUAUUUGAGUUCCAGCUGAACAUUUUAGGUCAAU